UACGAACUGUGCAAACGCUAUUCGGAAUCACUGGGCUUAAAGGGUGCGUAGGCGGCUUAUCAAGUAGGGUGUGAAAGCCCCCGGCUUAACCGGGGAAUUGCGCCCUAAACUGACGAGCUGGAGUGGGACAGGGGUGUGUGGAACUUCCGGUGGAGCGGUGAAAUGUGUUGAUAUCGGAAGGAACGCCGGUGGCGAAAGCGACACACUGGGUCUCAACUGACGCUGAGGCGCGAAAGCCAGGGGAGCGAACGGG
rnacentral:rRNA from 1 species